rnacentral:rRNA from 1 species
GGAGUGGACGAACCUCUGGUGUUCGGGUUGUCAUGCCAAUGGCAUUGCCCGGUAGCUAAGUUCGGAAUCGAUAACCGCUGAAAGCAUCUAAGCGGGAAGCGAGCCUUGAGAUGAGUUUUCCCUGGCACUAUAAGUGUCCUAAAGGGUUGUCGUAGACUACGACGUUGAUAGGCAGGGUGUGUAAGUGCUGCGAGGCAUUGAGCUAACCUGUACUAAUUGCCCGUGAGGCUUAACCAUACAACACCCAAGGGGUUU